UGGACCAAUGAUGAUGACUGGUGGAGUAGGAGUCAUGGACGAUGAAAAUACGUGUCUGAAACUCUGAGGUCCAA